rnacentral:rRNA from 1 species
CGGAAGAAGCAUUGUUAAGGAACUCGGCAAAAUGACCCCGUAACUUCGGGAGAAGGGGUGCCUGCGAGAGCAGGCCGCAGAGAAUAGGCUCAAGCAACUGUUUAGCAAAAACACAGGUCUAUGCGAAACCGAAAGGUGAGGUAUAUGGGCUGACGCCUGCCCGGUGCUGGAAGGUUAAGAGGAGAGGUUAGCGCAAGCGAAGCUUUGAAUUUAAGCCCCAGUAAACGGCGGCCGUAACUAUAACGGUCCUAAGGUAGCGAAAUUCCUUGUCGGGUAAGUUCCGACCCGCACGAAAGGCGUAAUGAUUUGAGCACUGUCUCGACAAUGCAUCCGGUGAAAUUGAAGUACCAGUGAAGAUGCUGGUUACCUGCGCCAGGACGGAAAGACCCCAUGGAGCUUUACUCCAGCUUGAUACUGGGAUUCGGUAUUGCAUGUACAGGAUAGGUGGGAGGCUAGGAAAUGGUAACGCCAGUUGCCAUGGAGCCAAUGUUGGGAUACCACCCUUGCAGUAUUGGAUUUCUAACAUGUGCCCGUGAUCCGGGCAGUGGACAAUGCCAGGCGGGGAGUUUGACUGGGGCGGUCGCCUCCGAAAGGGUAUCGGAGGCGCUCAAAGGUUCCCUCAGAAUGGUUGGAAACCAUUCGAAGAGUGCAAAGGCAGAAGGGAGCUUGACUGCGACACCGACGGGUGGAGCAGGUACGAAAGUAGGACUUAGUGAUCCGGUGGUAUAAAGUGGGAUUGCCAUCGCUCAACGGAUAAAAGCUACCCUGGGGAUAACAGGCUUAUCACUCCCAAGAGUUCACAUCGACGGAGUGGUUUGGCACCUCGAUGUCGGCUCAUCGCAUCCUGGGGCUGUAGUAGGUCCCAAGGGUUGGGCUGUUCGCCCAUUAAAGCGGUACGCGAGCUGGGUUCAGAACGUCGUGAGACAGUUCGGUCCCUAUCCGGCGCGGGCGGAGGAUAUUUGAGAGGAGCUGUCCUUAGUACGAGAGGACCGGGAUGGACGGACCACUGGUGUAUCUGUUGUCGACCAACGGCAUGGCAGAGUAGCCAAGUCUGGAAGGGAUAAACGCUGAAGGCAUCUAAGCGUGGCCCCCCUUAAGAUGAGAUAUCCCAUUCGUUAAGAAGUAAACCCCCUUGAAGACGACGAGGUAGAUAGGGCAGAGGUGGAAGUGUGGUAACACAUGGAGCUGACUGUUACUAAUAGGUCGAGGGCAUAACCAA